CACGUAGGGCGCAAGCGUUGUCCGGAAUUAUUGGGCGUAAAGAGCUCGUAGGCGGUUUGUUGCGUCGGCUGUGAAAACCUGAGGCUCAACCUCAGGCCUGCAGUCGAUACGAGCAGACUAGAGUGUUGCAGGGGAGACUGGAAUUCCUGGUGUAGCGGUGAAAUGCGCAGAUAUCAGGAGGAACACCGGUGGCGAAGGCGGGUCUCUGGGCAACAACUGACGCUGAGGAGCGAAAGCGUGGGGAGCGAACAGG
rnacentral:rRNA from 1 species